GUGUCAGCAGCCGCGGUAAUACGGAGGGUGCAAGCGUUAUCCGGAUUUACUGGGUUUAAAGGGUGCGUAGGCGGGCCUGUAAGUCAGUGGUGAAAUCUUCCCGCUUAACGGGAAAACUGCCAUUGAUACUAUAGGUCUUGAAUUCAGUUGAGGUGGGCGGAAUGUGUCGUGUAGCGGUGAAAUGCUUAGAUAUGACACAGAACACCGAUUGCGAAGGCAGCUCGCUAAACUGACAUUGACGCUGAGGCACGAAAGCGUGGGGAUCAAACAGGAUUAGAUACCCCAGUAGUCC
rnacentral:rRNA from 1 species